rfam:Mesocricetus auratus contig160369, whole genome shotgun sequence.
GCAGAGGUGGCUCAGAGGUUAAGAGCACAGGCUGCUCUUCCAGGGGUCCUGAGUUCAAUUCCCAGCUUCUACU